GGAACGAACGCUGGCGGCAUGCCUAAUACAUGCAAGUCGAACGAGAUCUUCGGAUCUAGUGGCGCACGGGUGCGUAACGCGUGGGAAUCUACCCUUGGGUUCGGAAUAACAGUUGGAAACGACUGCUAAUACCGGAUGAUGACGAAAGUCCAAAGAUUUAUCGCCCAGGGAUGAGCCCGCGUAGGAUUAGCUAGUUGGUGAGGUAAAGGCUCACCAAGGCACGAUCU
rnacentral:rRNA from 1 species